UUGCUGACACAUGACUCGUAGCUGAGGGCUGCAUGCAGCUUCUCUCUGAGCGGCGAAACAAAAGAUGUUAAAGCUUCCAGUUGCUGUUGCUGCUCCGGAUCAAACAGAACCUGGUUCCUGUCGGCUACCAGAACCUAAAGCUUCAUCCCACGUCUGCUUUUCUACUCCACUUAUGAUCUGCUGCCUCGUCGAUAAAACCGUUCUGCAGCCAGAGUUCAAAGAAAUUCACAGAGCGCUGCUUUUCCACUCAGCUCACCUCAUUCUGAGUGGAUUUCACAACCCACAGUGGGAUUCAAGCCUAAUAAAAAAAGAUCCUUGCUCUCCUCUAAGUGACAGGCCUUCUGGGCUUGUUGGGUUCACAGCGGGGAGCCAGAUAUUUUGAACAACGUAACGUUCAGCCUGCGGGUCAAACGGACGACAGAGGUCAAACAUCCGCUCCCCUUCAUGCUGAUCUAUCGUUGGUCCCAUGAACACAACUAAAAUAUUUUAUGUUUUCUUUAGGAAAAUGUAAAAAAUGAAACACCAAGAAUAUAAAUGAUUUUAAGAUUGA